UUCAGCCGGCAUUAUUUUUGUGACAUUUCAAAACAUAAAGUGAAAUUGAAAUAUUUAACACGUUUUAAAUUAAUAUAUUAAAUAGCUAAAUAUGGAAGUAAUAGAAAACUUUCAAAGUUUUAAAUCGAGAAAAACGUAAUUUUUUUUUUGUAAAUAUUUUUUUCUCGAGUUACUAACCGGUAAUGAGGCCAAUGCACGUUUAAAAUUUCCCGACAGUUUUAAUGUAAGGUUAUAUAUAAAUCCAAUAAAAAGGUACAACAGACAUAAACAAAACAAUGAAUGCUGGCUUGGUAAUGCGAAGUCCAAAAUUCCGAAUAAUACUGUAUAUAUUAAUAUUGGGAGUAGCAUGUUUGAUGGUGUUGCUAAUUCAUAACUCACAUGUGCAUUUAAAAGAAGUAGAAAAUUAUCAUAAUGUUUGCCAGAAAGAAAAAGAUAGAUGUGAAAGAGAAAAAGAUUCAGUUUCUGCUCAGUUACAAGUUCUUUAUGAACGUAAGAAAGAACUGGAAACAUUAUUACAACAAGAACGCUCGGAGCAUCAAAAGACCAAACAGGGUAAUUGUUAUCAAAAAUUCUUUAUUCAGAUUAUUUUUAUAUGCUAAAUAUUAAAAUUGGAGAUAAAUUUACAGAUAUAUAGAGCUAUUUUUCUCAUAUAUGAUUGAUUAUUUUUACUUUCCCUGCUGUUAUAGAACAGAGAAAAAGUAUAGUUAAUGGCCAAAUUUUAACCUUCUGGGUUUUUUAAAUUUCUGAAUGUUUUAAGGUCUCCUGAUUUCAAAAACAUCAAGAUAACAGGAACAACAUUCUGUAUGUAUGUAUGUGUGUUUACCUGUCUUUUGCUUUAUAUCUCAGGACUGCAUGGACCAAAAAUUUUCAGAUUUGGCAAGAAUGCUUCUAUUCUGAACAUUGAUUCUAUUACAUGUUGGAGAUUGUGAGUCAAGGGGAAGAUAGAGAGGGUAUCUCAAGUGGGGUCAGACUUAGUAAAAAUUUCACUUGCUAUUGGCAUUUAUAAAUUUUUUAAAAACUCACUCCUACUUCUAAA